UACAGAGGUCCCAAGCGUUGUUCGGAUUCACUGGGCGUAAAGGGUGCGUAGGCGGUUGGAUAAGUCUGGCGUGAAAUCUCCGGGCCUAACCCGGAAACUGCGUUGGAUACUAUUCGGCUAGAGGAAUGGAGGGGAGACUGGAAUACUUGGUGUAGCAGUGAAAUGCGUAGAUAUCAAGUGGAACACCAGUGGCGAAGGCGACACCCUGGACCAGCACUGACACUGAGGCACGAAAGCGUGGGGAGCAAACAGG
rnacentral:rRNA from 1 species